rnacentral:lncRNA from 1 species
CCCCAGUAAUGCUUAUCAUCAGAACGAUAUAUUUCUGUUCUGAUUUGCACCGCUUUUCCCCGCUGUUUACAAUAUCUCCCUGCAAGGAUUCUUCUCGGGUGUAUCACGGUUUUUUUCCACCACCACGGUAUUUCGAUUUCAUCAUUCACUCACCACACACCCCAUUUACAAGUUUUCAUCAUAUCGAUGUAUUUUACUUUGUCGUGCCUUUUUCUGGGGUUUCUUUUCCCCCCAGUAAUGCUUAUCAUCAGAACGAUAUAUUUCUGUUCUGAUUUGCACCUCUUUUCCCCGCUGUUUACAAUAUCUCCCUGCAAGGAUUCUUCUCGGGUGUAUCUCGGUUUUUUUCCACCACCACUGUAUUUCGAUUUCAUCAUUCCCUCACCACCCACCCCAUUUACAAGUUUUCAUCAUAUCGAUGUAUUUCACUUUGUCGUGCCUUUUUCUGGGGUUUCUUUCCCCCCCAUUAUAGUUUUUCAUCAGAAGGAUAUGUUUAUAUAUGCGCGCGCGCUUGCACACACACACACACACGCACACACACCGGUCUUAUAGGGCCAUACCCAUGGAAUAUGGAGGUGCCUAGGCUAGGGGUGGAAACUGUGCUGUAGCUGCUGGCCUAUACUACAGUCACAGCGACUCGGGAUCAGUGCUGCAUCUGCAAUGUACACCACAGCUCAUGGCAACGGAGGAUCCUUAAAGCGCUGAUCUAAGCAGGGGAUAGAACCUUUGUCCUCAAGGACGGUAGUCAGAUUCGUUUCCUAACUUCCUGUACCUUUUUUCCAUUUACAAUUUUUCAUUAGAAUGAUUUAUCUCAGUUAAUUUUUUUUUCUGGUUUUGGUUUGUUUUCCUCCCAUUAUAUUUUUUCAUCAUAACAAUAUAUUUUUAAAAAGAGAUCGAAUCAUAUAUUUCUAUUUGUAUUGUUCCCCUCCUUAAGAAAUUUUCAUUAUAACGAUAUACUUGUUUUUUGUGUCUUUUUUUUUUCUUUUGGGGUGUAUUUUCUUUCCAGUACUUUUUUUUUCAUCGGAGGUAUAUAUUCUGAUUUGCACCACAUUCCCAUCAUUUACAAUAUUUCAUUGGAAUGAUUUUUUUUGGUUCUUUUUUUGAAAGUUUGUUUUCCUCCCAGUACAGUUUCUCAUCAUAACAGUAUAUUUCCAUUUUGAUCUGCACUGCUUUUUUCACAUUUACAAUUGUUCAUCAGAAUGAUACAUGUUGAUUUGCACCAUUCCUCUCCCUCCCAUUUAUAAAUUUUCAUUAGAGCAGAAUAUUUCUUUUUGUGUGAGACAUUGCAGCUGUCAGU